ensembl:lncRNA
UGUCGGUGUACGUACGGUCGGUGUAGGUGUACGUACGGUCGGUGUAGGUGUACGUACGGUCGGUGUAGGUGUACGUACGGUCCGUGUAGGUGUACGUACGGUCGGUGUAGGUGUUCGUACGGUCGGUGUAGGUGUACGUACGGUCGGUGUAGGUGUUUGUAUGGUCAGUGUAGGUGUACGUACGGUCGGUGUAGGUGUAUGUACAGUCGGUGUAGGUGUACGUACGGUCGGUGUAGGUGUACGUACGGUCGGUGUAGGAGUAUGUACGGUCGGUGUAGGUGUACGUACGGUCGGUGUAGGAGUACGUACAC